rnacentral:rRNA from 1 species
AAGCAUAUCAGUAAGCGGAGGAAGAGAAACUAACCAGGAUUCCCCCAGUAACGGCGAGUGAACGGGGAUUAGCCCAUCACCGAAGCCCGUGUGUUUUUGCACGCAGGGCAAUGUGGUGUUGAGGUUUGCACCUGGGAUUGCCGACCUACCUCAAGUCCAGCUCCGAUACUGGCUUGUUUGUGGUCCAGAGCGGGUGAAAGACCCGUAAUGGUAGGUCUUGUUGUGUUUGGCAGUCCUCAGAUGUGCAUGCCCUCGAGUCGGAUUGCUUGAGAAUGCAGUCCAAAGUGGGUGGUAAACUUCAUCCCAGGCUAAAUACUGGCAUGAGUCCGAUAGUAGACAAGUACCGUGAGGGAAAGUUGAAAAGUACUCUGAAGAGAGAGUAAGCACUACGUGAAACCGAUUGCAGGGAAGCUGGGGGAGUCAAGCUUCAUGCUUGAGGGAUUUACAUCCGGAGCCUGUUGUGUGUUGGUGCGUGUGAGCCGCUCAGCCUUGAAUAAGUUGGGCACACUAAUGUGCUUCAAGACAUUCCGGGCUGUGUGUUUGGAACUGGUCAUACAGUGCCGCUCGUAAUGUUCUAUUCUACGCGGCAUAAAUCACAGGUGAUAUAGUAGUGCCUCGUGAUUGUCUAACUGUGCUCUGGCAGGCCCAGUGUGAUCAAGUGCAGAAGGGCAGGUACGAUAGCGUGUCGUUCGGGGGCAGCAUCGUCGAAUAGUGAACGGCCGAUUUUCACGUGGUGUCUACUGUAUCCUGUCAGCUUGGUGCCUCGUCCUCGGAC